rnacentral:rRNA from 1 species
CUACGGGUUACUCCAGUAGGGAAUUUUCGGCAAUGGGCGCAAGCCUGAUCCAGCAACGCCGCGUGGAGGAUGACGCAUUUCGGUGUGUAAACUCCUUUUAUAUGUCAAGAAAAUGACGGUAGCAUAUGAAUAAGCACCGGCUAACUCCGUGCCAGCAGCCGCGGUACUACGGAGGGUGCAAGCGUUACUCGGAAUCACUGGGCGUAAAGGACGCGUAGGCGGGUUGGAAAGUCAGGUGUGAAAUCCUACAGCUUAACUGUAGAACUGCACUUGAAACUUCUAAUCUAGAGUAUGGGAGGGGGAGAUGGAAUUAGUGGUGUAGGGGUAAAAUCCGUAGAUAUCACUAGGAAUACCUAAAGCGAAGGCGAUCUCCUGGAACAUUACUGACGCUAAGGCGUGAAAGCGUGGGGAGCAAACAGGAUUAGAUACCCGCGUAGUC